CAUCUGUAGUCUGGGAGCCACAUGGGGCUAGUGGUACCCUGGAGCACACCAUCCUUGCAGAAAGAGCAUCUUCUGGAGAAAACUGAGACCUGACUGCCCAACUCUCAGUAAUUUAUGUGCAGUUUCCUCCCAAAGCUCUGGGGCACUGUAGCCACAUUGAGAGUGACUGGGCCAUGUCUUAUCUAUUGGGAACAGUAAGGGAAGCUUCACAGUCAGGAUAUUGUUAACAGAUGCAGUGGUGUCUGUUGGACAUGAAGUACAGCUAUAAAU